rnacentral:rRNA from 1 species
GAUGAACGCUGGCGGCGUGCCUAAUACAUGCAAGUCGAGCGAACAGACGAGGAGCUUGCUCCUCUGACGUUAGCGGCGGACGGGUGAGUAACACGUGGAUAACCUACCUAUAAGACUGGGAUAACUUCGGGAAACCGGAGCUAAUACCGGAUAAUAUAUUUAACCGCAUGGUUCAAUAGUGAAAGACGGUUUUGCUUUCACUUAUAGAUGGAUCCGCGCCGCAUUAGCUAGUUGGUAAGGUAACGGCUUACCAAGGCAACGAUGCGUAGCCGACCUGAGAGGGUGAUCGGCCACACUGGAACUGAGACACGGUCCAGACUCCUACGGGAGGCAGCAGUAGGGAAUCUUCCGCAAAGGGCGAAAGCUUGACGGAGCAACGCCGCGUGAGUGAUGAAGGUCUUCGGAUCGUAAAACUCUGUUAUUAGGGAAGAACAAAUGUGUAAGUAACUAUGCACGUCUUGACGGUACCUAAUCAGAAAGCCACGGCUAACUACGUG